GGGAAGAGUAAAGGAGACAUUGUCUUGC
rnacentral:piRNA from 1 species